rnacentral:rRNA from 1 species
UAUACGACUCUCGGCAACGGAUAUCUCGGCUCUCGCAUCGAUGAAGAACGUAGCGAAAUGCGAUACUUGGUGUGAAUUGCAGAAUCCCGUGAACCAACGAGUCUUUGAACGCAAGUUGCGCCCGAGGCCUUUCGGUUGAGGGCACGCCUGCCUGGGCGUCACGC